UAGUGCCAAUACUUGAUUGGAAAAACUCUAAACCAUCUCGAAUUUAGUUGUUAAAUAGUUAAGUGACGACAAUACUGCAAAAGAAAUUUUUUGGAAAAAUAGUCAGGUGCUAAGAAUGAAAA
rnacentral:rRNA from 1 species